UUCAGGUGAAAGUGACAGAGAAUGAGGAACACUGACCUGUAGCAGCACCUGCACUUUGAGUGGCAGCCCAACCUUUACCUGGUACAAGAAUGGAGAAGUUGUGCCCUAUGAGUAUAAAUACUCCCUCAGUUUAGCCACCACUGAUGAUACAGAUCUCUACUCCUGUGCUACAGGAAGAGUCACUUCCCCUGCAGUCAAUGUGAAAUCAGGACAGUUGUUGGAAUCUCUGUGGCUUUUGCACUCUUUACUGUCAUGGUGUGCACAAGCAUGAAGAAGAGCACCAACAGAGAUAGGGAGGAGCAGACGCUCUCGUACUGUAAGUAACAAGUUCCCACCUGGAUAUUUUCACCAUUAACCGUACCAGCCGUUCAGAAAAGCAAAGGACAGUUCUGUGUACAUGCUGUAUUUUUAUGAAACUACAAAGUCAGUAGGUCUGUGCUGAGCAGAAGACACAAAGCACAGAUACACACCAGGCAAGUUACAGUUCAUCCAGUUCAUCA